UAUUUAGGAUGGGGAAUGGGGAGAAGUGGAGCAUCUCUUUACAGAAGAUUUAUGGCCUUGACUUUGAGAGUGUGGGUGGCAGGAUUUAAAUUUGUCUGGACAACAGGAGAAAUUGAAGGAAAGAGAACGAGCUUUGCGAAAACGUAAAGAAAGAGAAGAGCAAGAAGUGGAGAGGGUGCGGUCAAAAGCUCGUAGAAAGGAAGCUGUUGAAUCCUAUCAAGCUUUGCUGGUUGAAAUAAUUAAAGAUCCUCAGGCAUCUUGGACAGAGUCAAAACCUAAAUUAGAGAAGGAUCCCCAAGGACGUGCAGCUAAUCCGCAUUUGGAUCAGUCUGACUUGGAAAAGCUCUUUCGAGAACAUGUGAAGAUAUUGUAUGAGCGGAGCGCACAGGAGUUUAAAGCUUUACUAGCCGAGGUUAUAACUGUUGAAGCUUGUUCACGAGAAACAGAAGAUGGUAAAACAGUUGGAAACUCUUGGUCAACAGCCAAACAACUUCUCAAAGCCGAUCCCAGGUACUCAAAAAUGCCUAGAAAAGAUAGGGAAUCCUUAUGGCGCCGAUAUGUUGAAGAUAUUCAACGGAGGCAAAAGUCAGCACUCGAUGAAGUAGAUAAAGCAAGAAGUAAAGGAUCUUCUGGUUCAAGGAGGAGAUAAAGCAAGAAACAGAAGCUGUAGUAAUCCUCAAGUAUUUCGUAUGAUCAAAGGCAGCUGAGAAAAGACAGUUUUCUCAGGACACUUGUUUUUUAAGAGGGUAUGAAGCAGAGUACUCUCUGCCAGUUCAUGUAUCAUUUUGAAGCACAGUGUCCAGAACUUAUUUUUGUCAAAUCUGAUAAUUCCUUGGACUCUCAUACCUAGGUGAUUAUGUAGUAGAUUUGAUUUCUUCUAAUUUUAUGUAUUCUAGCAUUUCAGUUCGCAGCCAUUUUUCUUGUACGCUAUACGGCCUGACAAGAAAUAGAUUUCAUGAUUGAAUCAAUGUUUUUGCUUUUAGUGUCGAGCAAUAGGGUGCUGCUUGUGUCGAGAAAUAGUUCAAUUCCUUGGAAUCGAGUUUCAGUUUGAA